CGAGGUGACCAGACGAUCGCGGGCCGCAAGGCGUGAGGAAAGUCCGAGCACCACAGGGCAGGGUGCCAGCUAACGGCUGGUGGAGGCGACUCCAAGGAGAGUGCAACAGAGAUAUACCGCCCCGGUUUGACCGGAGCAAGGGUGGAAAGGCGAGGUAAGAGCUCACCCACGGCUUGGCGACUUGUCCGUGAUGUAAACCCCACCUGGUGCAAGAUGCGUAUGGGAGCAGAUGCGGUUGCCCGCCGCGCUCCCGGCAUCGCUUGAGUCUGCGCGGUGACGCCAGACCUGGAUAGAUGAUCGUCCAAUACAGAACUCGGCUUAUGGGCACGCUCGCACA
rnacentral:RNase_P_RNA from 1 species